CCUACGGGAGGCAGCAGUGAGGAAUAUUGGUCAAUGGCCGGAAGGCUGAACCAGCCAUGCCGCGUGAAGGUCAGUGCCCUAUGGGCGUUAAACUUCUUUUGUGCGGGAGCAAUAAUGGUCACGUGUGGCCAGACGAGAGUACCGUACGAAUAAGCAUCGGCUAACUCCGUGCCAGCAGCCGCGGUAAUACGGGGGAUGCAAGCGUUAUCCGGAUUUAUUGGGUUUAAAGGGUGCGUAGGCUGUGCGGUAAGUCAGCGGUGAAAUGCCCCCGCUCAACGGGGUGAAGUGCCAUUGAUACUGCCUGGCUGGAAUGCGGAUGCCGUGGGAGGAAUGUGUGGGGUAGCGGUGAAAUGCAUAGAUAUCACACAGAACACAGAUUGCGAAGGCAUCUCACGAAUCCGCGAUUGACGCUGAUGCACGAAAGCGUGGGUAUCAAACAGGAUUAGAUACCCUUGUAGUC
rnacentral:rRNA from 1 species